CGCGCGCGCACGACGGUGGGAGAGUCCCCGCCCUCACUCGUCGCCAUUUUGUGGUGACUGAGGGGAGGCGUGGAAAUGGCGGCAGGGGGCUGAACCCUGAGCUUGUGGCUCUGAACCACCUUUAUGCGAAGGACAGGGGACAGCGUCUAAUGUAGAACUAGCAGAUCUCGAUAAAUGAGCGAAAAAUAGAAUCACAGAAUGGUUUGGGUUAGAAUGAACCUUAAAGAUCAUCUCGUUCUAGCCCAUGGGCAGAGACACCUUUUACUAACCCACAUUGCUUCAACCUGUCCUUGGAGGGCCACAGCUUUUCUGGGCAACCUGUACCAGGGCCUCACCACCCUCAUAGCCAAGCAUUUCUUCCUACUACCCUAUCUAAUACUACUGUCUUUUGUUCUGAAUUAUUCCCGCUCAUCCUGUCACUCUAUGGUCUUUUAAAGAAGUCUCUCUCCAUGAUUGAUAGAUGCUGAUGAUUUAUGUACUCUCACUAACUUUAAUGAAUAUAUUGCAGAUUACUUAAAUUACACUUUAAAGAAACUUUGACAAUAUGAAGGUAAAAAAACCCCUCCACCCUCAGCACCUUUCAUGUUUGUCAAAGGAAUAAUAAACACCCACAAAGUUAUUUCCAAAAUUGAUGGUCUCCAUUUGUAUUUUUUACAUGCAGUAUCAAAAAAAACCCCCAACAAAAUCUGUUUUUUUUCUUUAUUUUAGGAAAUGAAUUUUGUUGCUUCAGUAAAUGAAAUGGAUGCUACCACCUCAGUGUUAUAAGGAAACAAAUUUUUUCAUAGCCUUUCUCCAUAGUUUUGUGCUAAGGGAGGAUAGAAAACUAGGAUCUUUAUGCUCAACAACAUAAGACAUUUAUAAAAGCAGACUGAAAGAACUUCAAGAACUGUGGCUUAAUUAGAUUUUAUUUAGAGUCUAUUUUGGAAAACAGUCACUGUGAACAGUAAGGAAUAAUUAUUACAGAUUACAUUGGGAGGCAAAGUCUGUUAAAGCAGAAGACACAAAAGCAAGAUUAAAGAGGAGUUUUUAAAAUAUUUAACGUGUAUCAAAUGAAAUUAUUCACAUAAAGUGGAACUACAUAAAAAGAUAGGUUUAAUUUCCAGGACUGAUUUCCUUUAUAAAUUGCAAAACUGUAAUAUGAAUGAAUUUGCACUAGGUGAACUUGUGAGGUUUGUAAUGCUGGCCUCUCUUUAUGGAAGCAAAAUCAACACUUUAUUCAGAUAUCUGCUUGUUCUGGCAUUGUUGUAGCAUCUGCUAAAAAAGUCUUGUAUAGAUUUCAGUCUUCUUCAGAAGAAGGAGUUGCUCUAGAGCUGAAGAAAUUUGUGCGAACACUCAUAUCUGUUCUCUUUCAAAGCAUAAACUGAUACAAAGAAUGCUAGUCCAGGUGUGCGAGAAAGCUAUGCAGGAAGAGUUUAGAGUAACAGAUUCAGCUGGCAUUGAUUGUUUUUUGUCAGAGAAAUGAAAGAUAAUAUCUUCCAAAAUAUUAGAAAUAUUAGGUACAAUAAUUAUAAUGAGGAUAAUCAGGUAGCAGGGCAGAUUAUUACAGGAGAUGGUAAAUGCUGUACUGGGUGCCUUUGUAAAAAGGGUGUCUAACUCACAAAUCGUGGGACUCACAGAAGGAGUCACUGGGUGAAAUUCCCUGCCCUUUGUUAUGGGUAGGGUCAGAAUGGGUGAUUACAGUGGUAUCUUUUAAAUCUUUGAAUCUUUAAGCUAUUAUUUAACAUACAUCUUUUUAUAUCUACAAUCCUUGCUUCCUAUAAAACCCCCCUGUUACUGUAAUUGCUUAGAUUCUUCAUAUUCAACAAUAUAUUACAUUUUACUGUUUGUGAAUAUGACUUGGUGAUGAAUUUUUUCAGGUGCUGCUUUCUUGCUCACUUUCCCCCACAAAGAACGUUUGUGUUCUUGAACUAGAAGGCAGAAACACAAGUAAGAAAAAAAACCCAGGAUCAUCCGUGAUGACAUUCAAGACAAGGUGUUACUGUGAAAGCCAUAUCAACCAGAAGAGAAAAGACUUCCACCAUUCAGUGCCUACAGGGAUGUAUGUAGAAAGAUCCUGUGGAUCAUGGAUUAAGGGCAGAGUAUUUUGACAGCUGUUCUUUCCCGUGAAGCAGGAGAAAGUGUAUUGCAACAUCAAGGCUGUCAGUUUUGGUUUUGUUUGUUUGGAGUUUUUGUUGGUAUGGGAUUUUGUUUGCCUUUGUCUGAGGUUUUUGCUUGUUUGCUUGGUUUUGUUGUUUGUUUUUUAAUCAAACACCAAAACUAUAAGGAUGGUGCAAAUAGUUUAAAGAGAAACAUCUUAUACAUGGUAUGUUGUCUCAUAAAAAUACAUGUGUUUUUUUGCUUUUCUUUCACAAAAGAUGGGCAAUGUGGUGAUUGUUUUAUCUCUGCAAAAUGCUUAUCUUCUUACCACUGAAAGGAUGUGAGGAGUUCAUGUCAUUGUUCUCCAUGAGAUGAGUUUGAAUUGCUACCCAUUCUAGUUGUUACUUGAGUUAUCUUUGGUCAGCCCUGUUUUCUGUAGAUUUUGCUCCUAAACUAGCUGCAAACAGGAACAGGGUAAGAGCCACAGGUUAAUAUAUAUUGUGUUAAGGAUUUUCUUUGUACAAAGCCAAAUGCUGUUAGUUCCUUCCCUUUUCUUGGCUCUAUGUUUGUUUGUAGGACCAACAGAAGUGGUCAUGUCUGUAUGUGCAGUUCUUUUCUCAACUCACUUUCUCAUAGAGGAGGAAGAAUCCAGUUUCUGAGGUUGGCCUGUACAUGAGUAAUGUCUUUUAAUAUGUGAAGGAAUUGGUGUAUGGUCUAUGCAGCAAACUGUCAAAUCCUGUCACCCGUCGGCUGGAGCAGAGAAUAUAAAUGAGCUCUAAGAGAGGCAAAGAGGGAAGGUGAAUGUUAAAAAUUUAAAUAACAGGUGUUACCUAACUCAGUUGUACUGGAAUCAGUUAGAAGAGGCUGACACAGAAGGGAUGCUGGAAAGUGAGUGAUCAUAAUGAGAGAAUGCGAGGUGAUCUCUCCAGCAGGAGCCAGGGAAAAUGUGUAUUGAAGGACCUCUGAAGGUCACCAAACCAUCAGGAGCUAACCAGCUUGUAAGUGGUGCUAACAUUUCUACCGUAUGUGCAAAUGUUGAAAAUGUCAGUUACCACAGUGAACAGUGCAAUUUAUUGUGCAAACUAAUAAAACACAAUAGGGGAUAUCCAGUUAAUAUAAUGGUUUCAUUCAGCUGUCUAAUGAAAAGAAAUCUUUCCACUCAAGAUUAGUUAUUGGAUUAGAUGCUUCCUUAUACAGUGACAAAACAAUAAUACUAAGUGGUAUAAGAAAGGCUUUCUCAGGUGAAAUGUAAUUUGAAUUUUAGUAGUUGUAGGUUUCCUUUAAAUAUUUUAGUACUUAAUAAAUAUUCCAGCAAAAAUGUAGAUGAAUUUUCACAGAGUGUCUUACUGGUACUACUCAUGCUAAUUUACAAGAUUUACAGCAAUUACUGUUCCUGAAAACUAAAAAAUAGUGAGUUAUUUCGUGAACACAUAAAACAAGGCCUUUGAAAAGAUUUAACAGUACUCUUAAAAUGAAAUAUUUGGCUCAGAUAUAAUUUGAGACAGAUACAAAAUUAGAGUGCGCUGUCAUUCCUGACAUUCAUAAAAUUAAAUUAUUGUGUAUUGUUUCCUUCUGUUUGUUUCUGAAUACAGAUCAGUAUGAAAGAAACUAGAUACUGUCAUUCUUUUGUUUCUGAGGGUGUUGACAGUUUGCUCUGUGCACAUCCAAAUAGCCAAUUAACACUGGAACCAAAGAUGCCUGUCUCAUAAGUUUAUGUAUGGAAAACCAGAAAGAUUAGUCUUUUAAGGACCUGAAACUUUUUGUAAAAAACAUAUUCAUAAAUCUGAUUCAAUUUUUUUUGGUAUUUCCAUAUGUUCCUUAGAACACCUAAUCUCCAACCGUUUCAGUAGUAUCAUAUAUGUAAGGAUUUUUUGUUUUAAAGAAGAAGCAGAGGGGUAGCACAUGAGAAGGAAUUCACAACAUUUUAGUUCAGAGGUAAUGAAAUCAGAGAGGAAAAAAUAUCUAUUGAUUACUGAUAAAGGUUCUACUUAUCACCAAUAUUUCGGUAGAAGUUCCUUUUGAGAGUUUAAAUGAAAGAAUCUGUGUGUGUUCUUCCCUUCCACUGAUGUUUAUGUUUCUGUGUAUACACAUACGUGUCUUUUUACAUCAUAUGGUACUUGGUAAAUGUUGCUUUUUUCCCCUUUCAUUUAGGGGUCCUGUACUGACUACUGUAAGACUCGAGUUCAUAAUAAUUUUUUUAAUUGUAAAUCCAUUUUUUAUAAUUUUGUAUCAAGUCUCUGAUAUUCUGUACUACCAUAGAAAUUGUUUUCUCAAAAUGGUGUGCUUUUACUUAGUGCCAUCUAUAAAUGGCAUCAUGCCAUAUAUGAACAUUUUGAAGUUCAAUGGGGAAAAAACUUUCUGGAUAAUGCUUCAUAAGCUGGAAGUUUAUACUUAAAUAAAUUGAUACCUUUAGAAGAGCUCUGUAAACUAUGCUUAGUAUAAAUCUACAUAAGUUCUCUACUAAUGUCAUAGUCUUUGCUGAAACUGAUUAUAGUUUAAUAAAACAAUAACCAGCAUAUGAUGUGGUUUUCCAACACUCAUCCAAGAUGUUUUUAACCUUUUUAAGCUGAGGUAGAGAAUUAAAAAUACAAGAAGUAGUAAACUAGUUCACCAUGUUUCCAAAGGAGGAAAUAAGUGAAAAAUGACAGCGUGGAUUAGGCCAACCACACAUACAUUAUAAACCAUGUGAUACGUAGCUGUAAUUAUGCAAGCAUGAAGCUGAUAAAAUUUAU